rnacentral:rRNA from 1 species
AGAGUUUGAUCCUGGCUCAGAACGAACGCUGGCGGCAGGCUUAACACAUGCAAGUCGAACGCACCUUUCGGGGUGAGUGGCAGACGGGUGAGUAACGCGUGGGAACGUGCCCUUCAGUUCGGGAUAACCCAGGGAAACUUGGGCUAAUACCGGAUACGUGCGAGAGCAGAAAGAUUUAUCGCUGAAGGAUCGGCCCGCGUCUGAUUAGCUAGUUGGUAGGGUAAUGGCCUACCAAGGCGACGAUCAGUAGCUGGUCUGAGAGGAUGAUCAGCCACAUUGGGACUGAGACACGGCCCAAACUCCUACGGGAGGCAGCAGUGGGGAAUAUUGGACAAUGGGCGCAAGCCUGAUCCAGCCAUGCCGCGUGAGUGAUGAAGGCCUUAGGGUUGUAAAGCUCUUUCGUCCGGGACGAUAAUGACGGUACCGGAAGAAGAAGCCCCGGCUAACUUCGUGCCAGCAGCCGCGGUAAUACGAAGGGGGCUAGCGUUGUUCGGAAUCACUGGGCGUAAAGGACGCGUAGGCGGCUUGAUAAGUCGGGGGUGAAAGCCUGUGGCUCAACCACAGAAUUGCCUUCGAUACUGUCUGGCUUGAGACCGGAAGAGGUAAGUGGAACUGCGAGUGUAGAGGUGAAAUUCGUAGAUAUUCGCAAGAACACCAGUGGCGAAGGCGGCUUACUGGUCCGGUUCUGACGCUGAGGCGCGAAAGCGUGGGGAGCAAACAGGAUUAGAUACCCNNGUAGUCC